UACGUAGGGUGCAAGCGUUAAUCGGAAUUACUGGGCGUAAAGCGUGCGCAGGCGGUUUUGUAAGUCUGUCGUGAAAUCCCCGGGCUCAACCUGGGAAUUGCGAUGGAGACUGCAAGGCUAGAAUCUGGCAAGAGGGGGGUAGGAAUUCCGACGUGUGAGCAGUUGAAAUGCGUAGAGAUAGUGGAGGAACACCGGCGGCGAAGGCGGGAUCUCGUGGGCCCGUAACGUGACUGCUGAGGUA
rnacentral:rRNA from 1 species